rnacentral:rRNA from 1 species
GCUGGCGGCGUGCCUAACACAUGCAAGUCGAACGAGAAAGUGGAGCAAUCCAUGAGUAAAGUGGCGACCGGGUGAGUAACACGUGACUAACCUACCUCCGAGUGGGGAAUAACUCCGGGAAACCGGGGCUAAUACCGCAUAACAUCGCAAGAUCAAAGCAGCAAUGCGCUUGGAGAGGGGGUCGCGGCUGAUUAGCUUGUUGGCGGGGUAACGGCCCACCAAGGCGAAGAUCGGUAUCCGGCCUGAGAGGGCGCACGGACACACUGGAACUGAAACACGGUCCAGACUCCUACGGGAGGCAGCAGUGGGGAAUUUUGCGCAAUGGGGGAAACCCUGACGCAGCAACGCCGCGUGGAGGAUGAAGCCCUUUGGGGCGUAAACUCCUUUCGACUCGGAAGAUAAUGACGGUACGAGUGGAAGAAGCACCGGCUAACUCUGUGCCAGCAGCCGCGGUAAUACAGAGGGUGCGAGCGUUGUUCGGAAUUAUUGGGCGUAAAGGGCGCGUA